rnacentral:rRNA from 1 species
AUUGAACGCUGGCGGCAGGCCUAACACAUGCAAGUCGAACGGUAACAGGAAGAAGCUUGCUUCUUUGCUGACGAGUGGCGGACGGGUGAGUAAUGUCUGGGAAACUGCCUGAUGGAGGGGGAUAACUACUGGAAACGGUAGCUAAUACCGCAUAACGUCGCAAGACCAAAGAGGGGGACCUUCGGGCCUCUUGCCAUCGGAUGUGCCCAGAUGGGGUUAGCUAGUAGGUGGGGUAACGGCUCACCUAGGCGACGAUCCCUAGCUGGUCUGAGGGGAUGACCAGCCACACUGGAACUGAGACACGGUCCAGACUCCUACGGGAGGCAGCAGUGGGGAAUAUUGCACAAUGGGCGCAAGCCUGAUGCAGCCAUGCCGCGUGUAUGAAGAAGGCCUUCGGGUUGUAAAGUACUUUCAGCGGGGAGGAAGGGAGUAAAGUUAAUACCUUUGCUCAUUGACGUUACCCGCAGAAGAAGCACCGGCUAACUCCGUG